AGAACUUCUGUAAACUACUCAAUCACCAUUAAUAAAAAUAAUCAUGAUAACCAUGGUAUUCCCUGAAUAUUUUGUCUUAAGAUAAUUCAUGACAGCAAAGGUUACAAGUGAAAGUUCAGAUUAAAUAUUAAUUUGAUUAACUCGUAACCCGAGUAUUGUAUUGAGAAAUUAGUAGACAGUUUUUGCAGUACAAAACUGAAUUAAAUAUAGCAUAUUAUCACAUCAAUAGUAUUGCCUGAUAAUAAUUUAUGGAAAAAAUUUGUGUAUAAACUAGUGAGCGCGAUCGGAGGAAACAGUUGGCAAAGCUCUCUUGAACGACAUGAAACUUACAGUUCUGCUCUGUUGCCUGGCUGCCGUUCUCUACACGGUCUCGGCAUUCCCCACCGAUGGCGUUCACAACCUCCUGCUCUCAAUAACAACAAAGGUUUCCGAGCUAUCAGUGACGGCUUGGACUCAGCUUUAGGCUGGGGAGGUUACGAUAAUCCUAGGCAGAGUAGAGUCCGUGGAGCUCUUCACGCUGCUUACCAUGAAAUCCAGUACCGUAGAACAGGGAAUCAGAGGGAACACGAGAGGGCGAAGGAUCAGUGGGGCGUCGUUACUGGAGGACGUCGAGAUAAUCUUGAACGAUACGACAGGGAGCAUUAUGGAUCAGGGAAAUAGAAGUAUUAAAAAUAUUAAGCCUAAGAAUAAUAUGUCUAUUGUUCUGAACACUAAUUAUGAAUUAAGUUUUAAUUACUUAUAUGCUCUUGUUUGACCAUAUUAUGUAAUAAAUUUGACUGAUCUGAUUAAUUCUAUUUAAGUCAAUAAACGUUUACUUUCUGUAAUAA